rnacentral:rRNA from 1 species
GACGAACGCUGGCGGCGUGCUUAACACAUGCAAGUCGAACGGAAAGGCCCUGCUUGCAGGGUACUCGAGUGGCGAACGGGUGAGUAACACGCGGGUGAUCUGCCCUGCACUUCGGGAUAAGCUUGGGAGACUGGGUCUAAUACCGGACAGGAACCAUCUUUAGCGUGGUGGUUGGAAAGUUUUUUCGGGGUGGGGUGAGCUCGCGGCGUAUCAGCUUGUUGGUGGGGUAAUGGCCUACCAAGGCGGCUGCGGGAAGCAGGACUGGGGGGGUGUACGGCGACACUGGGUCUGAGGGGAGGCCGCGGCACCGAAGGGAGGCAGAUGGGGGGAAUAUUGCACAAUGGGCGCCAGGCUGGUGCUGCGGCGCCGCGGGGGGGAAGACUGCCUUCGGGUUGUAGACUCCUUGCGCUAGGGACGGAGCUUUUUGUGACGGUACCUAGAGAAGAAGCACCGGCUAACUACGUG